CUGGUGGCCUGGUGGCCCCAAAGCCCGCGCUGGACAGAGAGCACAGGAAGAUAUUGAGCCUCAAAUUACUGCUGAACCUUCCUUGAGGCUAGGUUCAGGAUCUCUUUGACAAAGGGCCCUUCCUGAGAACACCCACCUCUUACCAUCAAGGAUCAGUGGGAAUCUGCCCAGAGACUCCCUAAGAGAAGCAGGGGCUGCCCUUUCCCCUCAGCCAUCGUGAACUCUAUGGGGACCAGUCACCCAAGAACCAUGAGCGUUGGACCACAGUCAGCCAUGCGGAACUGGAGGGGGGUGGCAAGUGUUGGUUCCUGUUUCUCUACCUCCGGAGGAAAGAAAGCAAGACUGAGAGAAAAAGAGGAGGCCCAAGGUCAGGGG
ensembl:lncRNA